rnacentral:rRNA from 1 species
UGGCCUGCCCAUUGAUAAUUUAAAAGGCCGCGGUAAUAUGACCGUGCAAAGGUAGCAUAAUAAUUAGUCUUUUAAUUGAAGGCUUGUAUGAAUGGUUGGACAAAAGGAAUACUGUCUCUAUUGUAUUUAUUGAAAUUAACUUUUAAGUGAAAAGGCUUAAAUACUUCAGAGGGACGAUAAGACCCUAUAAAGCUUUAUAUAAAAUAUAAAUUUAAUUGAAUUUUUAUUAUAUAAUAAUUAAAAUUAUAUUAUUUAUUUGGUUGGGGCGACAUAAGUAUAAUUAAUUUAACUGCUUUAUAAAUAUACACAGGAUAAGUGAAUAUUAUGUUAAAUGAUCCUUUAUUAUAAAGAUUUAAAGAUUAAGUUACUUUAGGGAUAACAGCGUUAUUUUCUUUGAGAGUCCAUAUCGAAAAGGAAGCUUGCGACCUCGAUGUUGAAUUAAAUUUUCUAUAUAAUGCAGCAGUUAUAUAAGAAGGUCUGUUCGACCUUUAAAUUUUUACAUGAUUUGAGUUCAAACCGGUGUAAA